CCCCUCUCAGGAUCGUGCUUGGAGAGUUUCCAGUCGUCUACCAGUCUCGGCUACAGGGGGAAGAGUCAAGCAGAGGCAUAUCCAUUCCAUUCCUAGCUUGGACAGUGGCUAGCGAGUGGAAGGCAAUCUGCUACAAGU